rnacentral:rRNA from 1 species
UACGGGGGGGGGCAAGCGUUGUUCGGAAUUACUGGGCGUAAAGGGCGUGUAGGUGGCCAACUAAGUCCGACGUGAAAUCCCCAGGCUUAACCUGGGAACUGCGUCGGAUACUGGAUGGCUUGAAUUCGGGAGAGGGAUGCAGAAUUCCUGGUGUAGCGGUGAAAUGCGCAGAUAUCAGGAGGAACACCGGAGGCGAAGGCGGCUCACUGGGGAUUUUCUGACGCUGAGACGCGAAAGCGUGGGGAGCAAACAGG